AGAGUCAGAAAGUGUAUUCUGUUACAUUACUAUCCGUUCACCCUUAUAUAAUCUCCUUGGGGCUGUCCCUGUUCAUUUAGGAGCAGGAGCCUGAUUUCCAAGCUGUUACUUUCCCUGCCUCCAGUACGCACCUCGCCCCGUGUCCAGACUACAGGUCCACAUUAAGAGUUCUAUUUCCUCUGCUUCCACUUCAUUCUGAUCGUCCGCAGCUUCUGCCUAACUCAGCGGGGCUUCAACCCACUGCUGGGCUACCAGACCCUUUUCCUGCGGAGGUUCCAGCCCGGCGCACGGCUCUUCAUUCCCUGGGAAGCAGGUUUCUCCCCUCCUCCAGUAUAAUCCCACGGGGCAUAAUUCACGUUGUCCGGGACCAGACUGCCCAUACUUGUGCCGUGCCCCGCCCCCCUCCUCCUCGGACAGUGACACACAACGGGAUCCAGUGUCUCCAGAGGUCAGAUACAUUCCAGAGAUGGAGGAGCCAAGGAAGGAGGAAAAGCAGCCUGAGAACAAAGGGCCUCAGACCACAGAAGGGCAGACACAAGAGUGCCUCAUAACAUCUGGCUCCUCUCUCCAGUCUAGACUAAGUUCUCAACCAACUCUUUGCUUGGCAUAGCUGGCUGAUAAAUUGUGUGGCUGAAUUGCUGCAAACCCUAGCACUGUCCAAGGUCCAUUAGCCAUCUGAUGUCAAGUCCUGCAGAUCUUGUGUUUGGCUAGAGGAGUUAAUGUAACUGACCAUGCUACUACCCUGAUUUGUUGGAUGAGCUGUUACCAAUUCUUUACUGUAGAAGGUAAGUCACCAUUGAUAGUUGAGUCCCAUCUAAGGGCACAUUUACACUACAGCCGGGAUUGAUGCUCUGAGAUCGAUCCACCAGUGGUCAAUUUAGCGGGUCUAGUAAAGACCUCCCAGAUUGCUCUCCAGUUGACCCCUGUACUCUACCCCCAAUGAGAAAAGUAAGGUAAGUCGAUGGGAGAAAAUCUCCCAUCGACCCCCCGUGGUGUAGACCCCGCAGUAACUCAGUUUGAGGUACGUCAACUCCAGCUAUGUUAUUCACAUAGCUGGAGUUGCGUAGCAUAGGUCCACUUACCGUGGUAGUGUAGACAGUCUCAGACCUAAAAGUCUCUCCCUAAUCCCAAAUCCUGGUGCUGGUCUUGGUUAGUGCUGCUGUGCCAACUCAAGCCCAGGGAAAAUGCAGCCCUGGGAAACCUGCUACUCCUUUUCUCUAUAUUCUCCCCACAAAUAAUACAAUGUGAAAAGCCUUCUGCAGCAAGGCUCUUUCUGACAUCUCCCUUCUACUGCUUCCCCGCAGUCAGUCUCCAGCUGGAGAGUGGAAAGGUUUGAUCUGCUGCUGAAAGCUUCUCGCCCUACUUCGCUGUGACUCUUCUGAUGGAGGAAUCACCCCAACACUAUCUCUAUUCACCUGCACAUCCCAAUGCAGGAGUGACUCUCCCAGGCCACAUGGUUCCCUACAGCAACUUCUACAGCCGCUUUUUUCUGUGCUCAGUCUCUUCACACCCUGCUCCUGAGCUGGUCCAUCUCUCCCCUUCCCUUGCCUCC
rnacentral:lncRNA from 1 species